AUUACAAGAACGCCCGGGCUUCGGCCUGGUUAUUCAUAACCCUUUGUUGUCCGACUCUGUUGCCUCCGGGGCGACCCUGCCUUCGGGCGGGGGCUCCGGGUGGACACUUCAAACUCUUGCGUAACUUUGCAGUCUGAGUAAACUUAAUUAAUAAAUUAAAACUUUUAACAACGGAUCUCUUGGUUCUGGCAUCGAUGAAGAACGCAGCGAAAUGCGAUAAGUAAUGUGAAUUGCAGAAUUCAGUGAAUCAUCGAAUCUUUGAACGCACAUUGCGCCCCCUGGUAUUCCGGGGGGCAUGCCUGUUCGAGCGUCAUUUCACCACUCAAGCCUCGCUUGGUAUUGGGCAACGCGGUCCGCCGCGUGCCUCAAAUCGUCCGGCUGGGUCUUCUGUCCCCUAAGCGUUGUGGAAACUAUUCGCUAAAGGGUGUUCGGGAGGCUACGCCGUAAAACAACCCCAUUUCUAAGGUUGACCUCGGAUCAGGUAGGGAUACCCGCUGAACUUAAGCAUAUCAAUAAGCGGAGGAAAAGAAACCAACAGGGAUUGCUCUAGUAACGGCGAGUGAAGCAGCAAUAGCUCAAAUUUGAAAUCUGGCGUCUUCGACGUCCGAGUUGUAAUUUGUAGAGGAUGCUUCUGAGUGGCCACCGACCUAAGUUCCUUGGAACAGGACGUCAUAGAGGGUGAGAAUCCCGUAUGCGGUCGGAAAGGCGCUCUAUACGUAGCUCCUUCGACGAGUCGAGUUGUUUGGGAAUGCAGCUCUAAAUGGGAGGUAAAUUUCUUCUAAAGCUAA
rnacentral:rRNA from 1 species